ensembl:snRNA U6 U6 spliceosomal RNA
UGUUAUGAGAUAAUACUGGGGACAAGCAGAUACAGAGUGAAUGAUAAAGAGAAGAUAAGCAUGGGCCCUGCACAAGGAUGACAUACGAAUUUGGGUGUUUUU